rnacentral:rRNA from 1 species
GACGAACGCUGGCGGCGUGCUUAACACAUGCAAGUCGAACGGAAAGGCCCCCUUGUGGGGUACUCGAGUGGCGAACGGGUGAGUAACACGUGAGUAACCUACCCUUGACUUUGGGAUAACUUCAGGAAACUGGGGCUAAUACCGGAUAGGAGCUCCUGCUGCAUGGUGGGGGUUGGAAAGUUUCGGCGGUUGGGGAUGGACUCGCGGCUUAUCAGCUUGUUGGUGGGGUAGUGGCUCACCAAGGCUUUGACGGGUAGCCGGCCUGAGAGGGUGACCGGCCACAUGGGGACUGAGAUACGGCCCAGACUCCUACGGGAGGCAGCAGUGGGGAAUAUUGCACAAUGGGCGGAAGCCUGAUGCAGCAACGCCGCGUGCGGGAUGACGGCCUUCGGGUUGUAAACCGCUUUCGCCUGUGACGAAGCGUGAGUGACGGUAAUGGGUAAAGAAGCACCGGCUAACUACGUG